CACAUGCUGUGAGCUCGAUGAGUAGGGCGGGACACGUGGUAUCCUGUCUGAAUAUGGGGGGACCAUCCUCCAAGGCUAAAUACUCCUGACUGACCGAUAGUGAACCAGUACCGUGAGGGAAAGGCGAAAAGAACCCCGGCGAGGGGAGUGAAAAAGAACCUGAAACCGUGUACGUACAAGCAGUGGGAGCACGCUUAGGCGUGUGACUGCGUACCUUUUGUAUAAUGGGUCAGCGACUUAUAUUCUGUAGCAAGGUUAACCGAAUAGGGGAGCCGAAGGGAAACCGAGUCUUAACUGGGCGUUAAGUUGCAGGGUAUAGACCCGAAACCCGGUGAUCUAGCCAUGGGCAGGUUGAAGGUUGGGUAACACUAACUGGAGGACCGAACCGACUAAUGUUGAAAAAUUAGCGGAUGACUUGUGGCUGGGGGUGAAAGGCCAAUCAAACCGGGAGAUAGCUGGUUCUCCCCGAAAGCUAUUUAGGUAGCGCCUCGUGAAUUCAUCUCCGGGGGUAGAGCACUGUUUCGGCAAGGGGGUCAUCCCGACUUACCAACCCGAUGCAAACUGCGAAUACCGGAGAAUGUUAUCACGGGAGACACACGGCGGGUGCUAACGUCCGUCGUGAAGAGGGAAACAACCCAGACCGCCAGCUAAGGUCCCAAAGUCAUGGUUAAGUGGGAAACGAUGUGGGAAGGCCCAGACAGCCAGGAUGUUGGCUUAGAAGCAGCCAUCAUUUAAAGAAAGCGUAAUAGCUCACUGGUCGAGUCGGCCUGCGCGGAAGAUGUAACGGGGCUAAACCAUGCACCGAAGCUGCGGCAGCGACGCUUAUGCGUUGUUGGGUA
rnacentral:rRNA from 1 species